AGUGAACGCUGGCGGUAGGCCUAACACAUGCAAGUCGAACGGCAGCACAGUAAGAGCUUGCUCUUACGGGUGGCGAGUGGCGGACGGGUGAGGAAUACAUCGGAAUCUACUUUUUCGUGGGGGAUAACGUAGGGAAACUUACGCUAAUACCGCAUACGACCUACGGGUGAAAGCAGGGGAUCUUCGGACCCUGCGCGAUUGAAUGAGCCGAUGUCGGAUUAGCUAGUUGGCGGGGUAAAGGCCCACCAAGGCGACGAUCCGUAGCUGGUCUGAGAGGAUGAUCAGCCACACUGGAACUGAGACACGGUCCAGACUCCUACGGGAGGCAGCAGUGGGGAAUAUUGGACAAUGGGCGCAAGCCUGAUCCAGCCAUACCGCGUGGGUGAAGAAGGCCUUCGGGUUGUAAAGCCCUUUUGUUGGGAAAGAAAAGCAGCAGGUUAAUACCCCGCUGUUCUGACGGUACCCAAAGAAUAAGCACCGGCUAACCUCGUG
rnacentral:rRNA from 1 species